CGACGGAUAGAGAUUAGGGAGGAGGGAGCAGAGGUUAGGCGCGGACAGAAGUGGGAAAUUAGAUUUUAACCCCAUUUCUUCCUCCGCAUCGCAUCGCAUCGAGCUAUAUAAAGGUAGGCGAGGGGGAAGCGCGGAGGGAGGGUUUUGGAAUUUGGCCGCCGUUAACCGCGCGUGAGCUGAGAACCGAGACCCAGCGGAAGCGGAGGAGGCGCUGCUGCUGCUGCGAGCCCGGCUCUCUAACACACACACACAGCGGAAGCGGAAGCGGAGGAGGAGGAGCUGUUUUGGCGGCGGUUCCCGGCGGCGAGGAUGAGCGGCGGAGGAGGGGGAGGGAGGGGGCCGGCGGCGGGACCUGUGCCGGCGUCCGCGAGGAAGCUGGUGCAGGGGCUCAAGGAGAUCGUGAGCCGCUCCGACUCAGAGAUCUACGCGGCGCUGCGCGACUGCGGCAUGGACCCUGACGAGGCGGUCAGCCGCCUCCUCUCCCAAGAUACUUUUCAAGAGGUAAAGAACAAGCGCGACAAGAAAAAGGAGGUGAAUAAAGGUACACCUGAGCCAAGAUCCCGAGGAGCAAAUAACUCAAACAGUCGUGCUGCUAGAGUUGGCACAGAUCGUACUAACCGAAGCAGUUCAGUUCAGUCUGUAUCCGGCGGAGUUGAUAACGUGGCUUCAAGGUCAUCGAUAUUGGGACCUGGUGUUCCAUCAACCAAUUCCACUCAGAAGCCAACAGUUCCGAGUUCCUUUGCAAACAAGGACGUGGUUUCUGAUGGAUUAUGCGGAGCAUCACAAUCAUCGUCAGGAUUUCAGCAGAAUUGGUGUGGGGUGCCUGGUCAGAUGUCAAUGGCUGAUAUAGUUAAAAUGGGCAGACCUCAAGGAAGGUCUUCUAGCAAGUCUAUGGCUACGGCAGACAAAGCAUUUGCUGGUCAAAACCCAUCUUUGUCAAAUGAAACCAACCAUAACACGAAACAAUCCGCAAGCAGAGUCGCCCCGACAACAUUUGACCAAGGAUUUCCAGCUCUUCCAGAUCCCAUUCCUCAAGUUAUAAAUUCAAAUCACACUUCGGCAGACAGCCACCAAACACAUGAAAGUGUUUGGUUUCCACAGGAUGGACCACCAUCACAAAGUCAAUUCACAGCCCCUGAGCCAUCUGGUGGCCCAUUAUCAUUUGUGGCAUCAUUGGAGUCAUCAGUGCUGGUUGCUGAUGCCGUUAACUUGCAUGAGAAGUCUCACACAGAAGAUAACACUUCAAUUGUAAAGCAGACAGCAAUACCUUCUGAGAGACACUUGGAAGUUCUUCACGACCAAGUUCGAUUCGGUGAUGAAUUGUUGCAGAACUCAAGUACAUACCAAUCUCAAAUGCAUUCAUUUGCCGAUGAAGUUGAGGUUUCCAACGUUGAUGUGGACUCAGCUGCAACGAACUUUCAGCAUCUAAGCUUGCAAAACGAAGAUCUAGCAGCAGCUAAUUCUGCUGAUGAUAAUCCAGCGGUUAUAAUCCCCGAUCAUCUACAACUUGAAAAUACAGACUGCGCACAUCUGAGCUUUGGUAGUUUUGAAUCUGGUGCCUUCUCUGGGUUGCUUCCAUCCAAGGUCCCUAAAUAUAGUGUGGAAGAGGUGCCCAACUCAGAUGAAACUCCAGCAGUUGAUCAAAUAGAUGUCAGGAAUCAAGAUUAUUAUGACAAUGGUGCUCUACAGUCAUCAGCAAAUGAGGAUGUUGAAACCAGAAUAGGUACCAACAUUGAGAAUACUGAUGUCCCUUCAGUUUCGCAGCCUGAUAUACUGAUGCAAGGUGCUCUAGAUGUGUCUGGUCUUCAGUAUAACCCGCCAUCAGUUUCGGAUCAUGUGUAUCCGAACACAACACAGCCAAGUAUAAUGGAGAGCCAACAAGGAAACGCUCAAGCACAACAUCUUUCCCAUUUUUCAAGCUUGCUGGCACAGCAAGCUAACACUCUGCAAAGCAACUUCUUGGGGUCAAAUCUUACCCAGCACCGGGAUUUUGACUUUUCACCAUUUUUAUCAGCACAGUCAGCUAUGAAAUAUAACCCAGCUGUGCCAACUACCAGUUACCCAAUCUCCAUGCAGGAGAAUUUAAACCAAGGGGGGUUCUCCAACACUCAAUCUACACAAAAUCCUCCCAGUACGAGCAUUCCGUCAGGGCUACCUCAACCUCAGCAAUUAUCUUUACAUCCAUACUCUCAGCCAACUCUACCCCUGGGGCCUUUUGCCAGUUUAGUCGGCUAUCCAUACUUGCCUCAAAACUACUAUGUACCACCAACAGCCUUCCAGCAAGCGUAUUCAAGUAAUGAACCUUUCCAUCAAUCUGGUGGUGGUGGUGCUGCUGUGCCUGGAUCUGCUAUGAAAUACUCGAUGCCGCAGUACAAGAGUGGCCUUCCUGUCAUGAGCCCACCACAGCAUUCAUCAGCAGUCUCUGGUUAUGGAGGCUUUGGCAGCUCAAGUAAUAUACCGAAUUUUGGCCAAAACCAGAGUGCCUCCCCUGCCACGACUAUGGGGAUUGAUGAAGCUUUAAGUUCACAGUUGAAAGAGGCCAGUCACUACAUGGCCUUACAGCAGAGUGACAACUCAGCGAUGUGGCUUCAUGGAGCUGCUGGUUCAAGAGCUGUUUCAGCUGUUCCACCUGGUAACUUUUAUGGCUUCCAGGGCCAGAGCGCGCAGGGUGGCUUCCGCGAGGUGCAGCAGCCCUCUCAGUACGGUGGUCUUGGGUACCCGAGCUUUUACCAGUCGCAGAAUGGUAUGCAGCAGGAGCACCCGCAGAACCCUGCGGAGGGAAGCCUGAACAGCUCCCAGACUGCCCCGUCUCAGCCAUCACACCAGAUGUGGCAGCACAGCUACUAAGAUGUAGGUCUGUGCUUCUGAAGAAGAAGCGUCUUCUAGGCUAUCUGCGCACCUUGGCAUCCUCCAUGAAGCAAACAGACCAGCUGAGCUGCCUUCUUGAGCGCCAAGAAGGGGAGGUCGAUGCGCUUCUAUAGUUUCGAAGUAUGUUGGUUUUCCUUUUUUCGCUCACUCUUCUUUCUCACUUGUUGUGUGCCUCGGGACUAGUUUCAGAUCGUCGUGAGUUCUACUCGAUAGUGAGCUGCUUUCUUGUAACAUCUUGAGCUCAUCUCCUGGGCGCUGGAGGCAUCGGGAUGAUUAUUGGUGAUAUUUUUGCAUUUAAGGGAUGUCUGGAAGGCAGCUUCGGCUUUGAAGAUCAACUUUUUUUCAUUGACUAAAUCCUUUAACGUCAUGGCCUCUGACGGACGUGAAAUGCGCUCUUCGUGCAGAGUUUGAAGAAGUUAACCACAUUUUAUCUAGACUAGAGAUGCUCUUUGCCAGAUUUAUGUGGAGUUGUGUCAGGUCGCUUCCCGAUGCACUUGGACCCUUCCUGCGUUGCUAUGUUUUCUUUCUUCUUCAGUGUUAUGAACACAAUUCUGGCUGAGCUGACUAGGGUUUGUGUACUUGUUUUUGUUGAUGACGUCUUAAUCUACA